rnacentral:rRNA from 1 species
UACGUAGGGUGCAAGCGUUGUCCGGAAUUAUUGGGCGUAAAGAGCUCGUAGGCGGUUUGUCGCGUCUGCUGUGAAAACGCGAGGCUCAACCUCGCGCCUGCAGUGGGUACGGGCAAACUAGAGUGCGGUAGGGGAGAUUGGAAUUCCUGGUGUAGCGGUGGAAUGUGCAGAUAUCAGGAGGAACACCGAUGGCGAAGGCAGAUCUCUGGGCCGUAACUGACGCUGAGGCGCGAAAGCUAGGGGAGCGAACAGG